GCAGGGACAGUUUGAGAGCCAAGUCAUGCCGCUCACCCUCCCAGGGCACAGCUAAAUCUAUCUUAGGGUGAACAUGCCCCGAGCAACAAGGCAAAGCGUCAUGACGAGGCUGUUGGGCACUGUGCUGGGGCUUUUGUGCACCCAUGUUUACUGUGUGAGAGGGGUGCAGGUGGAGCAGAGUCCCCCAGCCUUGAUUCUCCAGGAAGGAGCCAGUUCCACGCUGUGGUGCAAUUUUUCCACCUCUGCGAACAACGUGCAGUGGUUUCGCCAAAAUCCUGGAGGUCGCCUUGUCAACCUGUUUUACGUUCCUUCAGGGACAAAGUGGAAUGGAAACUUAAAAGCUACGACAGACCCUAAGGAACGCCGCAGUUCAUUGCAUGUUUCCUUCUCCCAGACCACAGACUCGGCCAUUUACUUCUGUGCUAUGGAGCCACAGUGCUUCCCAGGCACCUGCAGCCUGAACACAAACUCUCAGCUGGGCUCAGCUCCUCCUCCAACCACACGCACAUCACAGGAUCACCACACAGCAUUUGCACAGCUCAGUAUUUCAAACCCACACUGGUAG